GAUGAACGCUAGCUACAGGCUUAACACAUGCAAGUCGAGGGGCAGCAUGACGGAAGCUUGCUUCCGUUGAUGGCGACCGGCGCACGGGUGAGUAACGCGUAUCCAACCUGCCCUUGUCCAUCGGAUAACCCGUCGAAAGGCGGACUAACACGAUAUGCAGUUCACCGCAGGCAUCUAACGUGAACGAAAUGUGAAGGAGAAGGAUGGGGAUGCGUCUGAUUAGCUUGUUGGCGGGGUAACGGCCCACCAAGGCGACGAUCAGUAGGGGUUCUGAGAGGAAGGUCCCCCACAUUGGAACUGAGACACGGUCCAAACUCCUACGGGAGGCAGCAGUGAGGAAUAUUGGUCAAUGGGCGAGAGCCUGAACCAGCCAAGUAGCGUGCAGGAUGACGGCCCUAUGGGUUGUAAACUGCUUUUAUAUGGGGAUAAAGUGAGCCACGUGUGGCUUAUUGCAGGUACCGUAUGAAUGAGGACCGGCUAAUUCCGUGCCAGCAGCCGCAGUAA
rnacentral:rRNA from 1 species